UUUAAGAAAGGAGUCUUUAGCAAAACAAGAUGUUCUAAGAUAUCCAAGAUAUUUCUCAUAUGGAGUACUCUCACAUCUAUAAAAACAAUUAGCCUGACUGGUAAUAAUAAGUAAAAAAAAAAAGCCUCAAGACUCUUAAGGUACGGAACAAGCAUCAAGGUCAGUGAAGACAAGAAGAAAUACUGGAAAUGAGAGUUUAUAUGAUCCAGAAGUAAAAACGAUUGAACACUAUCCAUCGCUAAGUUCAAGGGCCACGAACAAAAACUUUCAUCAAGCAGGGAUUCCAUCAAAUAAAGCUAAUAUGGUAUGAAGUAACCAUGCAGGGGCAUGAGGAAUGCACAUCAACAUGUUUCUCGGUACCUCUUGGAGUUCUUAUGCAAGCCUGAGGCCCCAUGUUUUAGUUCUUGUAGUGAUAUGUGGUGAGCUUCACAUUUGAC
ensembl:lncRNA